rnacentral:rRNA from 1 species
GCAAGUCGAACGCUAUUUAUAGAGUGGCGCACGGGUGAGUAACGCGUGGGAACCUGCCUUUUUCUGCGGGAUAACGGUUGGAAACGACCGCUAAUACCGCAUACGCCCUACGGGGGAAAGGUCCGCCGGAAAAAGAGGGGCCCGCGUCUGAUUAGCUUGUUGGUGGGGUAAUGGCCUACCAAGGCGACGAUCAGUAGCUGGUUUGAGAGAACGACC